rnacentral:rRNA from 1 species
CCAGACUCCUACGGGAGGCAGCAGUGAGGAAUAUUGGUCAAUGGGCGCGAGCCUGAACCAGCCAAGUAGCGUGAAGGAUGACUGCCCUACGGGUUGUAAACUUCGUUUAUAAAGGAAUAAAGUGAGGCACGUGUGCCUUUUUGUAUGUACUUUAUGAAUAAGGAUCGGCUAACUCCGUGCCAGCAGCCGCGGUAAUACGGAGGAUCCGAGCGUUAUCCGGAUUUAUUGGGUUUAAAGGGAGCGUAGGUGGAUUGUUAAGUCAGCUGUGAAAGUUUGCGGCUCAACCGUAAAAUUGCAGUUGAAACUGGCAGUCUUGAGUACAGUAGAGGUGGGCGGAAUUCGUGGUGUAGCGGUGAAAUGCAUAGAUAUCACGCAGAACCCCGAUUGCGAAGGCAGCCUUCCGGCGCCCUACUGACGCUGAGGCACGAAAGUGCGGGGAUCGAACAGGAUUAGAUACCCCAGUA